UCCGAGGUAACUCGGUCGGGAGGAAUGCUGCGCUCUUUGCGUCGGCUUUCUUUGCACUUCCAAGCCUACGUUUUUUUCAUAUACCCGUAGUAUGUAACAGAAUGUAUCAUUGGGCCUAAGUGCCUAUAAACCUUAUACAACUUUCAGCAACGGAUCUCUUGGCUCUCGCAUCGAUGAAGAACGCAGCGAAAUGCGAUAAGUAAUGUGAAUUGCAGAAUUCAGUGAAUCAUCGAAUCUUUGAACGCACCUUGCGCUCCUUGGUAUUCCGAGGAGCAUGCCUGUUUGAGUGUCAUUUAAUUCUCAACCUUAUUAGUUUCUGCUGAUAAUGGCUUGGAUGUGGGGGUUUUCUUUUGCUGGCUUUCGUCAGCUCCCCUUAAAUGCAUUAGCUGGUGCCCCGCGUGGACUGUCCGUUCGGUGUGAUAAUUAUCUACGCCGUGGAUGUCUGCAAAUAGGGUUUGCACUGCUUCUAACCGUCUGUUCAUUUGGACAAUACAUGACAAUUUGACCUCAAAUCAGGUAGGACUACCCGCUGAACUUAAGCAUAUCAAUAAGCGGAGGA
rnacentral:rRNA from 1 species